CCAGGCAGCUGCUGGGGCAGCAGGACGGUAUUGGCUGCAGUUGCCGGUCUGACCUUGUUUCGAAAGCUUGAGGAAUGAGGAACCUGGACUGUGGAACCUGGAGUUGGAUGGCGCUUGGAGGGCUGGCUGCCCGGUUAUUCCGCGGUUCCAGCUCCGAGUAAAAGAACCCCGGAAGUGAGGUGUGCUGAGGCGGCAGUCAGCGGCGGCCCCGUCCUGGGCUUACGGGUUUAUUUGAGCGGUUCCCUCAAACUUUUAUUCACAUAUUCCACGUGCAUCUGUGGGAGACUCACUGGCUGGGUCUGCGGGGACGAUGCGGAGCUGGACAGUUUCGGGCAGCUGCGGGGGCGGGGGGUGCCUUCAGUCCUGUCCUGGAGACAGACAUGUAACCAAUUAACUGUAACACAGAGGCAAGUCCAUCCGGCGAUGAAGAAUGUACUUCGGAGGCUCAGGAGCAGGACUGAUGAAUUCUUCAUGGAGAGGUCAGGAAAAUCAUUACAGAGGAGUUGCUCAUUGAUUUAUUCUACGAGUUCUCAGUGCCCACUAUGUGCGAGGAAGAGAAAGAAAGCAUACACUUGAGACACAGUAGUCUAGAACUAAAUCUGCAGUAACUCUGAGGUAUGCCCAGUGGAUUAUGGUUGUCCCUUAAAUACUGAGUCUGAGGCCUGUAUUCUUCUGGUUAAAAAGAAGAUUAUGAAGUGUUAGUCAUACUAACUCUGAGCUGAAUUUUUCUCACAAUGGAACUCAAGA